rnacentral:rRNA from 1 species
UAGGGAAUCUUCGGCAAUGGACGGAAGUCUGACCGAGCAACGCCGCGUGAGUGAAGAAGGUUUUCGGAUCGUAAAGAUCUGUUGUUAGAGAAGAACGUUGGUAGGAGUGGAAAAUCUACCAAGUGACGGUAACUAACCAGAAAGGGACGGCUAACUACGUGCCAGCAGCCGCGGUAAUACGUAGGUCCCGAGCGUUGUCCGGAUUUAUUGGGCGUAAAGCGAGCGCAGGCGGUUCUUUAAGUCUGAAGUUAAAGGCAGUGGCUUAACCAUUGUACGCUUUGGAAACUGGAGGACUUGAGUGCAGAAGGGGAGAGUGGAAUUCCAUGUGUAGCGGUGAAAUGCGUAGAUAUAUGGAGGAACACCGGUGGCGAAAGCGGCUCUCUGGUCUGUAACUGACGCUGGGGAUAGAAAGCGUGGGGAGCAAACAGG